rnacentral:tRNA from 1 species
UCCCUGGUGGGCCAGUGGCUAAGACUCUACGCUCCCAAUGCAGGGGGCCUGGGUUCAAUUCCUGGCCAGGGAA